GACGGAAGGUGCAAGCGUUGCUCGGAAUCACUGGGCGUAAAGGGCGCGUAGGCGGCGGGGUAAGUCGGGUGUGAAAUCUCAGGGCUCAACCCUGAAACUGCACUUGAUACUGCUCUGCUUGAGGACUGGAGAGGAGACUGGAAUUCCCGGUGUAGCAGUGAAAUGCGUAGAGAUCGGGAGGAACACCAGUGGCGAAGGCGGCUACCUGGACCAGCACUGACACUGGAAGCACGAAAGCGUGGGGAGCAAACAGG
rnacentral:rRNA from 1 species